CGAACGGUAGCACAGAAGAGCUUGCUCUUUGGGUGACGAGUGGCGGACGGGUGAGUAAUGCUUAGGAAUAUGCCUUUGUGUGGGGGAUAACUAUUGGAAACGAUAGCUAAUACCGCAUGAUGUCUACGGACCAAAGUGGGCUUCGGCUCACGCGCAAAGAGUAGCCUAAGCGAGAUUAGCUAGUUGGUAGGGUAAAGGCCUACCAAGGCGACGAUCUCUAGCUGUUCUGAGAGGAAGAUCAGCCACACUGGAACUGAGACACGGUCCAGACUCCUACGGGAGGCAGCAGUGGGGAAUAUUGCACAAUGGGGGCAACCCUGAUGCAGCCAUGCCGCGUGUGUGAAGAAGGCCUUCGGGUUGUAAAGCACUUUCAGUUGUGAGGAAAGGUUAACGGUUAAUACCCGUUAGCUGUGACGUUAGCAACAGAAGAAGGACCGGCUAACUCCGUGCCAGCAGCCGCGGUAAUACGGAGGGUCCGAGCGUUAAUCGGAAUUACUGGGCGUAAAGCGCACGCAGGCGGUUUGUUAAGCGAGAUGUGAAAGCCCCGGGCUCAACCUGGGAAUUGCAUUUCGAACUGGCAGGCUAGAGUCUUGGAGAGGGGAGUGGAAUUCCAGGUGUAGCGGUGAAAUGCGUAGAUAUCUGGAGGAACAUCAGUGG
rnacentral:rRNA from 1 species